rnacentral:rRNA from 1 species
CCUACGGGGGGCAGCAGUGAGGAAUAUUGGUCAAUGGACGAGAGUCUGAACCAGCCAAGUAGCGUGAAGGAUGACUGCCCUAUGGAUUGUAAACUUCUUUUAUAUGGGAAUAAACUGUUCCACGUAUGGGAUUUUGUGUGUACCAUAUGAAUAAGGAUCGGCUAACUCCGUGCCAGCAGCCGCGGUAAUACGGAGGAACCGAGCGUUAUCCUGAUUUAUUGGGGUUAAAGGGGGCGUAGGUGGAUUGGUAAGUCAGUUGGGAAAGUUUGGGGCUCAACCGUAAAAUUGCAGUUGAAACUGGCAGUCGUGAGUACAGGAGAGGUGGGCGGAAUUCGGGGUGUAGCGGUGAAAUGCUUAGAUAUCACGCAGAACUCCGAUUGCGAAGGCAGCUCACUGGACUGCAACUGACACUGAGGCUCGAAAGUGUGGGUAUCAAACAGGAUUAGAUACCCUAGUAGUC